CUCAGAUUGAACGCUGGCGGCAUGCUUUACACAUGCAAGUCGAACGGUAACAGGGAGCUUGCUCCGCUGACGAGUGGCGAACGGGUGAGUAAUGCAUCGGAACGUACCCAGUCGUGGGGGAUAACGUAGCGAAAGUUACGCUAAUACCGCAUACGUCCUGAGGGAGAAAGCGGGGGACCGUAAGGCCUCGCGCGAUUGGAGCGGCCGAUGUCGGAUUAGCUAGUUGGUAGGGUAAAGGCCUACCAAGGCGACGAUCCGUAGCGGGUCUGAGAGGAUGAUCCGCCACACUGGGACUGAGACACGGCCCAGACUCCUACGGGAGGCAGCAGUGGGGAAGUUUUGGACAAUGGGCGAAAGCCUGAUCCAGCCAUGCCGCGUGAGUGAAGAAGGCCUCGGUUGGUUAAGUACGU
rnacentral:rRNA from 1 species